AGUUAAGUGACUAAGCGUACAAGGUGGAUGCCUUGGCAAUCAGAGGCGAAGAAGGACGUGCUAAUCUGCGAAAAGCUUGGAUGAGUCGAUAAGAGGCGUUUAAUCCAAGAUAUCCGAAUGGGGAAACCCAGUAGAUGAAGAAUCUACUAUCAACAAGUGAAUUCAUAGCUUGUUGAGGCAAACCGGGAGAACUGAAACAUCUAAGUACCCCGAGGAAAAGAAAUCAACCGAGAUUUCGUCAGUAGCGGCGAGCGAAAGCGAAAGAGCCAGUAAGUGAUAGCAGUAUAGUGAGGAGAAUGUGUUGGGAAGCACAAUCAAAGAGGGUGAUAAUCCCGUAUCUAAAAACCAUAUUGUGGUACUAAGCUAACGAGAAGUAGGGCGGGACACGUGAUAUCCUGUUUGAAGAAGGGGGGACCAUCCUCCAAGGCUAAAUACUCCUGAUUGACCGAUAGUGAACCAGUACUGUGAAGGAAAGGCGAAAAGAACCCCGGUGAGGGGAGUGAAAUAGAACCUGAAACCUUGUACGUACAAGCAGUGGGAGCCCCAUCACUUAAUCCGAUUGGAAGGUGAUGAAAAGCAACCGCACUUAAACAAUGGUAAGAGGAGCGAAGCGAGUCAAACCACCCAAAAGAAGCAGUGGGAUUAAGUGAUGGGGUGACUGCGUACCUUUUGUAUAAUGGGUCAGCGACUUAUAUUUUGUAGCGAGGUUAACCGAAUAGGGGAGC
rnacentral:rRNA from 1 species